rnacentral:tRNA from 1 species
GGCCGUAGCUGAGAGGUAGGGCACUCUCCUAGCACGUGUGAGGCACUGGGUUCGAUCCUCAGCACCA